rnacentral:rRNA from 1 species
CCCCUAGACGUUCUGGGCCGCACGCGCGCUACACUGACGAAGUCAGCGAGCAUGUCCUACGCCGACAGGUGCGGGGAAUCUUGUCAAACUUCGUCGUGAUGGGGAUUGAUUAUUGAAAUUCUUGAUCAUCAACGAGGAAUUCCUAGUAAGCGCAAGUCAGCAGCUUGCGUUGAUUACGUCCCUGCCCUUUGUACACACCGCCCGUCGCUACUACCGAUUGAAUGGUUUAGUGAGAUCUUCGGAUUGGCGCCACUGCGGCUCAGCAAUGGGCUCGGUGGAUGCCGAAAAGUUGAUCAAACUUGAUCAUUUAGAGGAAGUAAAAGUCGUAACA